rnacentral:lncRNA from 1 species
GGCUAGGGGUCAAAUUGGAGCUGCAUCUGCCAGCCUACGUCACAGCCACAGCAACACCAGAUCUGAGCCGAACCUGCGACCUACACCAUAGCUUACGGCAACGUCGGAUCCUUAAGCUACUGAGCGAAGCCAGGGAUCGAACCUGAAACCUCAUGGUUCCUAGUCGGGUUCGUUUCUGCUAUGCCACAACGGGGACUCCUGGGGAUGGACUUUUUAAGCAAGAGUUUUUAAUGCCCUCUCUGGGUAUAACACCACAAUGACCUCUGAAGAGGAUACAAGAGAGGAUGAGAAUGUGGGGAACGGCCACAAAGAGAUAAGGAAUCCCUGGAGGAGAGACCUCUGGUGCUCACGCUGUAAUUGGAGCGAUCUCAGCAGAAGGCACCGCAAACUGAGUGGUGCAGGUGGGGCCAAGGGGGCAUUUCAGACUAACCGGGUGGGCCAGGUGGGGCUGGGCGGCGAGGGGGGCGGUGGUGAGAGAAGACUGUGGAUUCCAGAGUAGGCAAGCCUACCUUUGAAUCUUGAUCUCUGCCCUUUCAAUGAAGUAUCAGGCAAGUCCCCGACCAUCUCCGAGUCUCCUGUGUAAAAGGCUUGUAGGAGGGUUGAAAUAACCCCGGGUGUGCAAUAUCUGACACAGUAUAGGAAUCCUGUACGUGUUAGCUCCAUCCCGAGAUGCCAUCUGAGACUCACAUGAGACCUUUGUCCAUGUCCCUCUAUAAAUGUGCCUUUACAACAUGCUAUGGUCCACCCCACUCCCAACCAUUAUUUUCCGAGCUCAUUGGCCAAGGAUGGGUGAGAGGGAGAAGGGAGCGGAAAGGCCCUCGGGAGGAUUCAUUCCUACGGCAUCUGGAUACAGAUCAGAUCCCCUACUUCCAUAACAUGCACGUUUCAUUUAGAUACACAGGGGUAGGAUUGGGUUCCUGGGGAGAAACUGAGCCUCUUCACGUCUGCCCGGUCUAAAUCAAGCAGUCCCUUGGUUACCCACUCCCGGGCUUUGUGAUUGGUCGGCUGCGAAGGUGGGGGAGGAGGGAAGUCGGCGGCUGAUGGAGCGGCAGCAUCCCUUAGCCUCAGGCCCCAGGAGGGGGAGGGAAAAAGCAGGGCUGAGCCGGGGAGGGAAGGGGGAGCCAUUUCUCUCCACUGACCGCCACCUCCGUGCUCACCGCUCGCGUUUCCCCGGCAUCCGGAGGCCUCCCCAGCCAAGGACUCCACAAUGCUGGAUAUUUUCAUCCUGAUGUUCUUUGCCAUUAUAGGCCUGGUCAUUCUGUCCUAUAUUAUCUAUCUGCUCUAGGGGCCCGCAGCGGCGGCGUGGAGCCCGCAGGAGAACAGCGCAUGGGGGAAGGAUGAAGCUGACUGGCGGAGGAGCAUCCUGCCUGCUGACGCAUCGGUGGAUUUUUGCUUCUGCUCCUGGACUCUGGUGCCACGAGAGGCCCCUUUAUCAACAGCAGGAGUCCUGCUGUCCAGCAGACCUCUUCCAGAACCUUCCGGAUAUGGUUCGCCCUUGUCAAGCAAGGGGCUUUCUGAGUUCAGAGGCAGAGGCAGUCGGCUGGGACGUCAGGAAUUCACGGGCAUGGCCGGCAGCUGCUGCAUGCAAUGAAGCUUGUAGACACAGGGAGCGGAAAUGUAGACUCGUUAAAGUUACCGUGGAGGAUCGCUCCGAAAUUCAUUCUGAUAGCUUUUCCUGAAGUCUAAAUGCCACCACAUAUGAUGCUGCAAUACGUUCUUUCCUUUCUCUCUCACACGCAGGGGUUCCCUUGUGUUAAGUCCUAGAGCACAUUAUCUGUCUUCAUCUAUGAGGCGGUCACUUUAUCACGGUCUUCAGGGAUUACACAAUCUGAGGUUGUGUGGUUUCCCGUGUCUCACUCUCUAGAAGGAACUAGUCAUUUGAGUUUUUAAGAUUUCUCAUAUCUUUCCAGACCCCUUGUGCUCCAGCAUCUCAUUCAAAGAGAGAAACAGUUAUAUUGUCCUCAUUCUUGGUGCCUAACUAAAUUACAAAUGAUUGAAAAAAGAUGGCUAGACUUAUCUUGUUAUUUGGAAAAAAAUCUCUCUCAUACCCCCAAAUAAAUGUUUUUUAUAUUGUCAAAUGGUCUUUUUUUUAAAAAAAAAAAAAA